GACGAACGCUGGCGGCGUGCCUAAUACAUGCAAGUCGAACGCAGUGGGGCCGGGUGAGUAACCCGUGGGUAACCUCCCAUCAGAGGGGAUCACACUUGGAAACAGGUGCUAAACCGAUACUGAUGUAUGGACCCGCGGUGCAUUAGCUAGUUGGUGAGGUAACGGCUCACCAAGGCCACGAUGCAUAGGCGACCUGCGAGGGGGAUCGGCCACACGGGGACGGAGACACGGCCCAGACUCCGAAGGUAGGCAGCAGGAGGGAAUCGUCGGAAAUGGACGAAAGUCUGACCGAGCAACGCCGCGUGAGUGAAGAAGGUUUUCGGAUCGUAAAACUCUGUUGUUAGAGAAGCGGUAUCUAACCAGAAAGCCACGGCUAACUACGUGCCAGCAGCCGCGGUAAUUC
rnacentral:rRNA from 1 species